GUUUUUGAGUCCCUUCUUUCCGCCGCUGCACUGACAAACACGACAGAGUUGAAGAUAAGCAGAUAUGUGUGUGAGCGCGUGCUGAUGCAGGCAGUGAGGGGGUGUAACGUGGUUGGUGUGUCAGGGGCGUGAGUGUCACAUGUCAGCGUACACAGACGGCAGUUUGACACCUCCGCUUCUCCGCCAGAGAGAAACAGUCAGCAGCUAAGCGGCUCUGGACCGGCAGGAGACGGACGGCGAUGGCGAGCGGUGACAGCCAGGAAACUUUCGAGUCAUGGCUCAAUCAGGCCACGGACCCAAAUAAUCAGGAGGACAGAUGGGACUGUAUUCAGGGUUUCUACGAGCUUGUCAACCAGGAGACUAACGGGCCGCAGGUAGCCGUUCGUCUUCUCGCACAUAAAAUCCAGUCCCCACAGGAGAAAGUGGCUCUGCAGGCUCUCACAAUUCUCGAGGCUUGUAUGAACAACUGCGGCAAGCGGUUCCACAGCGAGGCUGCCAAGUUUCGCUUUCUCAAUGAGCUCAUCAAAGUCUUAACACCAAAGUAUUUUGGCUCGUGGACUCCACAGAAAGUCAAAGACAGGGUGACGGAGGUCCUCUACGGCUGGACGCUCUGGCUUAAAGAUGAACCUAAGAUUCAGGAAGCUUACAGCAUGCUCAAGAAACAAGGUAUUGUGGAGAAAGAUCCCAAACUGCCGGACACGGUUAUAAUGGCUCCUCCACCACAGAGAACCACAGAGUCUGUUUUUGACCAGGAGGAGAAAGCGAAGCUGUUGGCCAGAUUAUUGAAAAGUGGCCGUCCUGAAGACCUGGAAACUGCCAACAGGCUCAUUAAAAGCACCAUCAAAGAGGAGCAAGAGAAGGCUGAGAAAGUGUCAAAGCGUGAGUCUACUCUGCAGGAUGUGGAGAGCAACACUAAGCAGCUCAGAGAGCUGCUGGAACAGCACGCUAUCACUGGAACUUCAUUACAGCCCAGCGACGACAUGAAGACGCUGUAUGAGCGCUGCGACCGGCUGAGGCCCAGCCUCUUUCGACUAGCCAGCGACACGAUGGAAGACGACGCUGCUCUGGCGCAGAUCCUGGCAGCUAACGAUGACUUGACUCUCGUAGUGAACGCUUACAAAGUCCGGGUGGUGGGAGCAGAGUGUAACGGAGAAAGAGCACGAAGUAAAAGUGAAGAAGUGACAAGUAAUACGGCUCCUACGAGUCACAGAGAGGUUAAGAGCUACCACCUCAUCGAUCUGUCAGCGCUGGACUCUCCGCAGACUCACAGGAAAGCCGAUUCCCUGCCUGUAUUCGAAUCUUCGUCACCAGUCUUCACCUCUUAUCUGGAAAAAGCUUUCAGCUCAGAAGACGACCAGGACUUAAACGAAUUAGAUCUGGUCUCAAAGCAAAGGACUCAGGAGAAUUCCAAGUCCUAUUCUGAGGAACUGAUGCAGUUAAAUGGAGACAUUUUUAAUGCUGAGCAGAACGGAGGAGGGGGGCUUUUACUGAGAGCCCGUGGAUGUGGGGGCAGCAGUGCGACAACUAACGGGACAGACAUUUGGUCUCACCCUCAAAGUCAGCAGUUCAAAUGGUCGGACAAACCAUCAAAUGAAGGCUCAGGUUCUCCAGUGAAACUAGAGGACUCAUGCCCCCCACACCUCCUGAACAACAUCUUUGUUCCAAUGGAAAGCAUCAAAUCCAGUCAGCUGGAGCCGAUCACGUUAUACAACCGGGCCGGUUUCCACGUAUCUCUUCAUUUCGCUAGAGACCCUCCGCCAGGUCAUCCAGGUGUCGCCGUGGUCGUCAUGUCUGCAGUGAACACAUCUGCGCUCGAUGUGAGAGACUUCCUGUUUCAAGCUGCUGUUCCAAAGACGAUGUUAGUGAAACUUCAGCCUGCCUCAGGGACACGCCUACCUCCAUACAACCCUGUCCUGCCUCCACCUGCUGUCUCCCAGGUCCUCCUGUUAGCUAAUCCUCAGAGGCGUAAAGUCCGCCUGCGCUACAAGCUCACACUGAUGCACGGAGACCAACAUCUGAGCGAAACGGGAGAGAUUGACAACUUUCCUGACUGGAUGUCUUUGACCGGCCACUGAAAACUUCACAAACUCGGAUUUAUACUCUGUGCUGGGUGUGAAAUUAACAAUUGAAAGAAGAGAGAGUGAUAGUGAAGCCAGGGAGGAAGAAAAACUCAACCAGAAGAUGGAGAUGCUUUCAGCUUCAACCACUUUAUGAACCCCAAAGAAGACAUUCAGGCUCAGUUUUACCUGCUUCCUCCUGUGUGACUGUGAAACAGGAAAUGCAUGUCUGUCAUGUGUCAGUAUUGAGUUCUUUAAUAAAUAUGGAUUCUGUUACAGUUGUGUUCUGGGUCCAGGGAUUUCAGAUCUGCGGCUCUUUUACAUAUGCAGGGGCUCAAUGUGGUAUCGUCAAAAGACAAUAAUAUAAACACAAAAUGAACAAUGGAUAUUUUGCAGUGUUUUUUAAAAGUUUGUCUCUACAUCCUCCAGCUGUGAAAGUAUGUAGCCUUUACACUGAAUUAAAAAAAGAAAAAACGUUUUCA